GACACCUGAGGAGACAGGGUUUGCUGUGGUGGCCAGGCAGCAGCCGGGGGGCCUGGGUUUUUGUACACUGCCUAGCGGGGCCCGUGGCAACGUGACUACUUUGACUACUGGGGCCAGGGGACCCUGGUCACCGUCUCCUCAGCGAGCGCAUCGGCCCCAGACCUCUUCCCUCUCGUGUCCUGUGAGAGCUACCCGUCCGAGGCGAACUUCAUGGCCGUGGGCUGCCUGGCCCACAAUUUCCUGCCCGACAACGUCAAAUUCUCCUGGGACUACCAGAACACCAGCAAGAUCUCCACCCAGGCCAUCAAAAGUUUCCCAUCAGUCCUGAGAGAGGGCAAGUAUGUGGCCACCUCUCAGGUGUUCCUGCCAUCCGCCGAGGUCCUCGAGGGCACGGAUCAGUACGUGAUGUGCAAUGUCAAGCACGACAACAUCAACAGGAAUGUGAAAGUACCCAUCCCAGUGACGGAAUAUGUGUCCCCCCAUGUGAGCAUCUUCGUCCCGUCCCGCGACUCCUUCUCCAGCAACAGCCCACGCACAUCCAAGCUCAUCUGCCAGGCCACCGGCUUCAGCCCCAGGCAGAUCUCCGUGUCCUGGUUCCAGGACGGAAAGAAGGUGGAGUCUGGCGUCACCACAGACAAGGUGGAGGCCGAGGCCAAAGGGCCCGGACCCCUGACAUUCAAGGUCACCAGCAGUCUGACCAUCACCGAAAGCAACUGGCUUAGCCAGAACAUGUUCACUUGCCACGUGGAGCACAACGACCUGAGCUUCGAGAAGAACGUGUCCUCCACAUGCAGCUCCAGUACCUCCAGUGGCAUCACUGUCUUCACCAUCCCCCCGUCCUUCUCUGACAUCUUCCUGACCAAGAUGGCCAAGCUGUCCUGCCUGGUCACAAACCUGGCCACCUACGACAGCCUGACCAUCUCCUGGACCCGCCAGAAUGGUGAGGUUCUGAAAACCCACGUCAGCAUUACCGAGAGCCACCCCAACGCCACCUUCAGUGCCACCGGAGACACCACCGUGUGCGUGGAGGACUGGGACUCGGGUGACACGUUCACCUGCACAGUGACCCACACGGACCUGCCCUCACCACUGAAGGACACCAUCUCCAAGCCCAAAGAUGUCGUCAAGCACAUGCCCUCCGUGUACGUGAUGCCACCAACCCGGGAGCAGCUGAGCCUGCGGGAGUCGGCCUCCAUCACCUGCCUGGUGAAGGGAUUCUCACCCCCUGAUGUGUUGGUGCAAUGGAUGCAGCGGGGGCAGCCUUUGUCCCCUGACACGUACGUCACCAGCGCCCCGAUGCCCGAGCCCCAGACCCCGGACUCCUACUUCGUCCACAGCAUCCUGACCGUGAGUGAGGAGAACUGGAGCGCUGGGGAGCCCUACACCUGCGUCGUGGUCCAUGAGGCCCUGCCCCACACGGUGACCGAGAGGACCGUGGACAAGUCCACCGAGGGGGAGGUGAGCGCCGAGGAGGAGGGCUUCGAAAACCUGAAUACCAUGGCCUCCACCUUCAUCGUGCUCUUCCUCCUCAGUCUCUUCUACAGCACGACGGUCACCCUGUUCAAGGUGAAGUGACCCACCGAGACGAACGUGGAUACCAAGGAGAUGGAACCAAGAGGGGCGCCUGCCGCCUUGAGCCCGGGGCCCUGGCAUGCAUGGCGGGUCCACUUGUCCUCAAACCUCCCCGUGCUGCCCUGCGGCUUCCGCUCUAAGAAGCAGGCUUCUGUGCACACGGCCCGCAGCCAUGGACUCUGCCCCACACCGCCUUGCAACGUUCACGCUUGUCACCCUGAAAUAAACAUGUAUAUUUUAUUUUGCGAAA